rnacentral:rRNA from 1 species
AGUGACGAUAGCCUAGGAGAUACACCUGUUCCCAUGCCGAACACAGAAGUUAAGCCCUAGUACGCCUGAUGUAGUUGGGGGUUGCCCCCUGUUAGAUACGGUAGUUGCUUAGC